GACGAACUGUGCAAACGUUAUUCGGAAUCACUGGGCUUAAAGGGUGCGUAGGCGGCUAUGAAGGUGGGAUGUGAAAUCCCUCAGCUCAACUGAGGAACUGCGUCCCAAACCACACAGCUCGAGGAAGGCAGGGGUGAGUGGAACUGUAGGUGGAGCGGUGAAAUGCGUUGAUAUCUACAGGAACACCGGUGGCGAAAGCGACUCACUGGGCCUUUUCUGACGCUGAGGCACGAAAGCUAGGGGAGCAAACGGG
rnacentral:misc_RNA from 1 species